UGUGGAAUCUUACUCAUAUUUUUUUCAAUGAUUAUGUUUAUUGAUCCAUUAGUAAUGAUAGAAGAUUAAGUUACUUAGGGAUAACAGCGUAAUUUCUUCGGAGAGUUCAUAUUGAUGAGGAAGUUUGCGACCUCGAUGUUGGAUUAAAAUUAGUGUUAGGUGUAGCAGCUUAAUAACUAGGUCUGUUCGACCUUUAAAGUUUUACAUGAUCUGAGUUCAGACCGGCGUAAGCCAGGUCAGUUUCUAUCCAUAAU
rnacentral:ncRNA from 1 species